CUUGUUAUCAUCGAGUACAGCACUGUUUGUGUGUUUGCUGACUUAAACACUUAGAACAACAUGUGAGGAAAACAGAUUCAUGUUCAGUAAA